GCGUCGCACCCAUGGGGGAUGUGGGUGUUUUAACACCCACACUUUUCCUGGUGAGAGGGUUCAACACCCACACUUUUUAUGCAGUUUUGCAAGAACGUCUUAUUAAAGUCGCUCCUCCGUUUCUCUGGCCGCUCUUGUCUGCUGCGCUGCGCUGCACUGCCCUUCUCCCCCCUCCCCUCUCAAACAUGACGCCAGCUUUGAGUAUUACCGGAUGAUGAUUGGCUGUUCUGCCUUAAGUCCCGCCUCUCUUGAUCGGUCAGCUCCGUCAGCUCGCGCUGAGGAGGCGGGAACUUUGUUUAUUUACAUCUCCAUUUUUCAGUAUAAAUAAGAUACAGAAAAGAAAGAGGCAGGAGAAGAUUGACACCUUUUUCAAGAGAAAUCCUGAGAUGAGGUUGCUGGAGGCAUCAGUUUAAAGAGAGAGAGAGGCACAGAAAGUUUCACAGGUGAGCAAUGAAAAAUGAAUGUUACAGUUUGAGAAAGAGGUCUAUGAGAGAAGAGAGGAUGUGUUUG